rnacentral:rRNA from 1 species
UACGUAGGGACCAAGCGUUGUUCGGAUUUACUGGGCGUAAAGGGCGCGUAGGCGGCGUGGCAAGUCAUCUGUGAAAUCUCCGAGCUUAACUCGGAACGGUCAGAUGAUACUGCUGUGCUAGAGUACAGAAAGGGCAAUCGGAAUUCUUGGUGUAGCGGUGAAAUGCGUAGAUAUCAAGAGGAACACCUGAGGCGAAGGCGGGUUGCUAGGCUGAUACUGACGCUGAAGCGCGAAAGCUAGGGUAGCAAACGGG